rnacentral:rRNA from 1 species
CCUACGGGAGGCAGCAGUUUAAUAAGAAUCUUCCGCAAUGGGCGAAAGCCUGACGGAGCGACGCCGCGUGAACGAAGAAGGCCGUGAGGUUGUAAAGUUCUUUUCGGGAGGGGGUACAACCGUGGCAGGAAUGGCCGCGGGAUGACGUGAAUCCCGGAAUAAGCCCCGGCUAACUACGUGCCAGCAGCCGCGGUAACACGUAGGGGGCGAGCGUUGUUCGGAGUCAUUGGGCGUAAAGGGCGUGCAGGCGGUCCUGCAAGUCCGGCGUGAAAGACCCCGGCCCAACCGGGGGGACGCGCUGGAAACUGCAGGGCUUGAGUACAGGAGGGGAUGCCGGAAUUCCAGGUGUAGGGGUGAAAUCUGUAGAUAUCUGGAAGAACACCAAUGGCGAAGGCAGGCAUCUGGCCAUGUACUGACGCUGAGACGCGAAGGUGCGGGGAGCAAACAGGUUUAGAUACCCUGGUAGUCCGCACAGUAAACAUGUGCACCAGGUGGCGGGGGGUCGACCCCCGGUACCGUAGCUAACGCAUUAAGUGCACCGCCUGGGGAGUAUGCUCGCAAGGGUGAAACUCAAAGGAAUUGACGG